rnacentral:rRNA from 1 species
CGCAUCUGUGCAUGCAGCAUAUCAAUAAGCGGAGGAAAAGAAACUAACAAGGAUUCCCCUAGUAACGGCGAGUGAAGCGGGAUGAGCUCAAAUUUGAAAUCUUAAAGGGUUUCCCUUUACGAAUUGUAGUUUAAAGAAGUGUUUUCUGUUGAGGUUUUGGUAAAAGUUCUUUGGAAUAGGACAUCAUAGAGGGUGAGAAUCCCGUAUUUGACCUUUACUUUCAACUUUGUGAUACACUUUCAAAGAGUCGGAUUGUUUGGGAAUGCAGUCCAAAAUGGGUGGUAAAUUUCAUCUAAAGCUAAAUAUUGGCGAGAGACCGAUAGCGAACAAGUACCGUGAGGGAAAGAUGAAAAGAACUUUGAAAAGAGAGUUAAACAGUACGUGAAAUUGUCAAAAGGGAAGCGUUUGACACCAGUGUUGUUUUUCUGAAAAUCAAUUAAAGAACUGUUUAUGCUAAGCUGUUUAGACUUUAUCAGCUAUACUGUUUAGUUUUGAGCUUUUCUUUAAUGCACUUUUCAGUUAACAAGUCAACAUCAAUUUCUUUUGCUGUAAAAAAGCUUGAGGAAGGUGGCUUGAGAUUCGUCUUAAGUGUUUAUAGCCUCUUGCCUAUGCAGUCGGAGAGAUUGAGGUCUGCAGCGUAGAUCCUUCGGGGCUAAAUGCAUUUGUGCUAAGUUAUAGCAUUUUAUAGACAACUUGUUGACUAUGAUUUGUCUUGUAGCUUACUCGCUUAUGUUAUUUUACCUACGCUUAGGAUGUUGAGUCGUAGAGCACGCAG